GACGAACGCUGGCGGCGUGCCUAAUACAUGCAAGUCGAGCGGAUGGAAGGAAGCUUGCUUCCUAAAGUCAGCGGCGGACGGGUGAGUAACACGUGGGCAACCUACCCCUAAGAUCGGGAUAACUUCGGGAAACCGGAGCUAAUACCGGAUAUGAUUAUGUCUCACAUGAGACAUAAUGGAAAGACGGUUUCGGCUGUCACUUAGGGAUGGGCCCGCGGCGCAUUAGCUAGUUGGUGAGGUAACGGCUCACCAAGGCGACGAUGCGUAGCCGACCUGAGAGGGUGAUCGGCCACACUGGGACUGAGACACGGCCCAGACUCCUACGGGAGGCAGCAGUAGGGAAUCUUCCGCAAUGGACGAAAGUCUGACGGAGCAACGCCGCGUGAGUGAAGAAGGUUAUCGGAUCGUAAAACUCUGUUGUUAGGGAAGAACAAGUACCAUAGUAACUGAUGGUACCUUGACGGUACCUAACCAGAAAGCCACGGCUAACUACGUGCCAGCCGCCGCUGUAACAC
rnacentral:rRNA from 1 species